GACGAACGCUGGCGGCGUGCCUAACACAUGCAAGUCGAACGGAGAAUUAGCAAUAAUUCUUAGUGGCGAACGGGUGAGUAACGCGUAGACAACCUACCCUUUAGAUGGGGACAACACCGCGAAAGUGGUGCUAAUACCGAAUAUUGCUUGAGAAGCGCAUGCUUCUCAAACUAAAGAUGGCCUCUAUAUAUAAGCUAUCGCUAAAGAAUGGGUCUGCGUCUGAUUAGUUAGUUGGUGGGAUAAAAGCUCACCAAGGCAACGAUCAGUAGCCGGUCUGAGAAGAGGAACGGACACACUGGGACUGAGACACGGCCCAGACUCCUACGGGAGGCAGCGGUGGGGAAUCGUCCGCAAUGGACGAAAGUCUGACGGAGCAACGCCGCGUGAGUGAUGAAGGUUUUCGGAUCGUAAAACUCUGUUGUUAAGGACGAAUGUAUAGAUUGUGAAUAAUGGUUUAUAAUGACGGUACUUAACGAGGAAGCCACGGCUAACUACGUGCCAGCAGCCGCGGUAA
rnacentral:rRNA from 1 species